rnacentral:rRNA from 1 species
GAUCAUGGCUCAGGACGAACGCUGGCGGCGUGCCUAAUACAUGCAAGUAGAACGCUGAAGAGAGGAGCUUGCUCUUCUUGGAUGAGUUGCGAACGGGUGAGUAACGCGUAGGUAACCUGCCUGGUAGCGGGGGAUAACUAUUGGAAACGAUAGCUAAUACCGCAUGAAAUGGAUUAUCGCAUGAUAAUCGAUUGAAAGGUGCAAAUGCAUCACUACCAGAUGG